rnacentral:tRNA from 1 species
GGAGGGGUGGCUGAGUGGUCGAAAGCACCGGUCUUGAAAACCGGCAACCGAAAGGUUCGUGGGUUCGAAUCCCACCCCCUCCGCCA